GGCGGGGUAGCGAAGUGGUCAAACGCGCUAGUUUUAGGUCCCAGCAGGGAUUUAAACAAUCCUGACACUAGUCCUCGGUUCGUGGGUUCAAAUCCCACCUCCGUCA